AUGUUUGAAAAGAGUUUCAGUAUUCUAGAAACAGCUGCAACAGAGCUGCACUGCUCUGAGCACAAGGGAACUCCUGCUGAGAAGCCCAUUCAGAAUCUGACCUGGUCCACUGGGUUUGCUGGGGAGCCAAGGGAUGGAGACUCUCCUGAAAGUGCUUUCAGGUGCUCUACUGUGGCAAUUGGCUUAUCAGGUGUGAGAAGCCAAGAAGUGCAGCAGAGUCCUCAGUCCUUGAUCAUCCAAGAAGGGGAAAAUGUUACUGUCUGGUGCAAUUCCUCAAAGACUUUAUAUUCCUUACACUGGUACUGGCAGAAGCCUGGUGAAGGGCCCAUCUUCUUGAUGUUGUUAAGAAGAGAAGGAAAAGAGAUUCAUGACAAAAUAGCAGCCACGUUGGAUAAAGAAAAGCAGCACAGCUCCCUCUGCGUCAUGGGCUCCCAGCUCAGUCACUCAGGCACGUACUUCUGUGGAGCAGAAGCACAGUGA